AACGAACGCUGGCGGCAGGCCUAACACAUGCAAGUCAAACGGCCCUUCGGGGCAGUGGCGCACGGGUGCGUAACACGUGGGAAUUUACACUUCGGUAAGGAAUAACACAGAGAAAUUUGUGCUAAUACCUUAUAAUGACUCCGGUCCAAAGAUUUAUCGCCGAAGGAUAAGCCCGCGCCUGAUUAGGUAGUUGGUGAGGUAAGAGCUCACCAAGCCGACGAUCAGUAGCUGGUUUGAGAGGAUGAUCAGCCACACUGGUACUGAGACACGGACCAGACUCCUACGGGAGGCAGCAGUGAGGAAUAUUGCGCAAUGGGGGAAACCCUGACGCAGCCAUGCCGCGUGAGUGACGAAGGCCCUAGGGUUGUAAAACUCUUUCAGAUGCGAAGAUAAUGACGGUAACAUCAGAAGAAGCUCCGGCUAAAUUCG
rnacentral:rRNA from 1 species